rnacentral:rRNA from 1 species
CCUACGGGUGGCUGCAGUGGGGAAUAUUGGACAAUGGGCGAAAGCCUGAUCCAGCCAUGCCGCGUGUGUGAAGAAGGCCUUCGGGUUGUAAAGCACUUUCAGUGGGGAAGAAAGCCUUGGGGCUAAUACCCUCGAGGAAGGACAUCACCCACAGAAUAAGCACCGGCUAACUCCGUGCCAGCAGCCGCGGUAAUACGGAGGGUGCGAGCGUUAAUCGGAAUUACUGGGCGUAAAGCGCGCGUAGGCGGUCUGAUAAGCCGGUUGUGAAAGCCCCGGGCUCAACCUGGGAACGGCAUCCGGAACUGUCAGGCUAGAGUGCAGGAGAGGAAGGUAGAAUUCCCGGUGUAGCGGUGAAAUGCGUAGAGAUCGGGAGGAAUACCAGUGGCGAAGGCGGCCUUCUGGACUGACACUGACGCUGAGGUGCGAAAGCGUGGGUAGCAAACAGGAUUAGAUACCCCGGUAGUC